GGCGAACGGGUGAGUAACACGUGGGUAAUCUGCCCUCGGCAUCGGGAUAGCCCGGGGAAACCCGGAUUAAUACCGAAUAGCCUCCGGAGCCUUCGGGCGCCGGAGAAAAGGUAGCUUUGGCCUCUGGCCGAGGAUGAGCCCGCGGCGGAUUAGCUUGUUGGCGGGGUAACGGCCCACCAAGGCGACGAUCCGUAGCUGGUCUGAGAGGACGAUCAGCCACACUGGGACUGAGACACGGCCCAGACUCCAUACGGGAGGCAGCAGUGGGGAAUCUUGCGCUAAUGCGGGAAACCGUGACGCAGCGACGCCGCGUGGGGGAAGAAGGCCUUUGGGUUGUAAACCUCUUUCAGGAGGGACGAAGCUACUCGGGUGAAUAGCCCAGAGGGUGACGGUACCUUCAGAAGAAGCCCCGGCUAACUACGUGC
rnacentral:rRNA from 1 species